GACGAACGCUGGCGGCGUGCUUAACACAUGCAAGUCGAGCGGUAAGGCCCUUUCGGGGGUACACGAGCGGCGAACGGGUGAGUAACACGUGGGUGACCUGCCCUCAGCUCUGGGAUAAGCCUGGGAAACCGGGUCUAAUACCGGAUAUGACUCCAUGACGCAUGUUGUGGGGUGGAAAGCCUUGUGCGGCUGAGGAUGGGCCCGCGGCCUAUCAGCUUGUUGGUGGGGUGAUGGCCUACCAAGGCGACGACGGGCAGCCGGCCUGAGAGGGCGACCGGCCACACUGGGACUGAGACACGGCCCAGACUCCUACGGGAGGCAGCAGUGGGGAAUCUUGCGCAAUGGGCGAAAGCCUGACGCAGCGACGCCGCGUGAGGGAUGACGGCCU
rnacentral:rRNA from 1 species